AGUUAAGGUAAAAGUGUCUUGAAUACUAAAUAUCAUUUGAUUAUUAUUGACAAGUUUGUCUUGUGAUCAUAUUAUAGUAAUACAGAAACAUGAUUAUAAAAUUCUGAAUAAAUUGUUAGUAUUUACAACAAUAUUAUCAACAACCUAUAAUAAUGAUGACCCCAAAGUCAGGUAAUGUUCUGUAGUAAGGAACAACCUAUAAUAAUGAUGACCCCAAAGUCAGGUAAUGUUCUGUAGUAAGGAACAACCUAUAAUAAUGAUGACCCCAAAGUCAGGUAAUGUUCUGUAGUAAGGAACAACCUAUAAUAAUGAUGACCCCAAAGUCAGGUAAUGUUCUGUAGUAAGGAACAACCUAUAAUAAUGAUGACCCCAAAGUCAGGUAAUGUUCUGUAGUAAGGAACAACCUAUAAUAAUGAUGACCCCAAAGUCAGGUAAUGUUCUGUAGUAAGGAACAACCUAUAAUAAUGAUGACCCCAAAGUCAGGUAAUGUUCUGUAGUAAGGAACAACCUAUAAUAAUGAUGACCCCAAAGUCAGGUAAUGUUCUGUAGUAAGGAACAACCUAUAAUAAUGAUGACCCCAAAGUCAGGUAAUGUUCUGUAGUAAGGAACAACCUAUAAUAAUGAUGACCCCAAAGUCAGGUAAUGUUCUGUAGUAAGGAACAACCUAUAAUAAUGAUGACCCCAAAGUCAGGUAAUGUUCUGUAGUAAGGAACAACCUAUAAUAAUGAUGACCCCAAAGUCAGGUAAUGUUCUGUAGUAAGGAACAACCUAUAAUAAUGAUGACCCCAAAGUCAGGUAAUGUUCUGU